CCUAUAUAUUACUCUGAACAUUUCACCUCAAUAUGAACUUUAGCACCUUGAGUAGAAUAUUGUCUCUCUUGUCUAAAACUUAAGAUAAGAGAGAAAAUAUACUCAUAUUCCCUCUAUUUGUUAGAGCUUUUUGCUUGAGAUUUCAUGUGCUGGAAGUCUGGUAUUGAUUUCUUCUUCUUGUUGUUUGGUAUGCUUUUAGGGAACCAAACAGAGUGGUUGAGGAGUCAAAAAUGAUCUAGGGUAUUGACAAAUUCGAAUUUUAAGCUUUUGUCAGAUAAUUGAGCUGGCUCACGAGAAACUCUUACUUUUGUUUGCAUUUUGCAAGAGGUUGACACCCAUGGCUAAUGAAAGGGAUAUAAAGCUUUCAAGGAUCAAAGAAUGAAGAGAGAAUGAGUCUCUUGCACCUUUGAAGCACAAGCAAAAGCAUAGUCUACAAAUCAUUAAGGAUUCUCCUGAACUUGAAAAGUCAACACAUGUCAAGGACAAGCCAAAGAAUAUACUUCGAAUCAUUGAGGAUUCUCCUGAAAUUGAAAAGUUAACGCAUGUUAAGUCUAUUUUUAAAAUUUUAGAGUGUCAAGAAUCACACAUUUGACUCCGAAUGAAAAAUAUUAGAUUGGAUUGGUUCUUGUAAAAUUAUUGCAAAAGGUUAUUUUGUUUCGAGCGACCCAAAGGAUGACAUUCACCAUGUUCCUCUUGGGCCUAGUGCUAUGAAAGUGGGGUUAGAUCUUGUGAGAAAGAAUGAUGCAUUUUUAUGGAGACCUUCAGGAGCUAUGUCUACUAUAGAAGAUGCUAUAGGUAGUAUAAUUGCAUGACCAGCUGGUAAAGGCAUAAUUAGUUAAGCAAAUCGACCCACAACAAAGACAAGUGCACAAUGGAUGAUGAAUUGAAGGAUGGAGCAAGUUUCAUGGUUUACUUUUUGUGUAUCUUGCUAUGGCUUUGUUUUUUAUUUUUGAAGUAAAAGAUGUUCAAGAUUAUAGAACUUUAUUAUGUAUGCUUUCAAACUUAAGUUAGAACUAAGAUCUCAUGAAGUAGCCACAGUCAUGGUUUGACUUAGCUCUUGUUUAAUGUAAUACUUAUGGUUUAUCAAUCUAUUUAAUAUUACAUUUUGUGAUUAA